AUAAAAAACUUGUUCUUUUAGAGGACUUUGUGGAUUCAGGAUAACUUUACGGAUCGCAUAGCCUUGCGCUGGCGACGGUUCAUUCAAAUUUCUGCCCUAUCAACUUUCGAUGGUAAGGUAUUGGCUUACCAUGGUUUCAACGGGUAACGGGGAAUUAGGGUUCGAUUCCGGAGAGGGAGCCUGAGAAACGGCUACCACAUCCAAGGAAGGCAGCAGGCGCGCAAAUUACCCAAUCCCGACACGGGGAGGUAGUGACAAUAAAUACUGAUACAGGGCUCUUUUGGGUCUUGUAAUUGGAAUGAGUACAAUUUAAACCUCUUAACGAGGAACAAUUGGAGGGCAAGUCUGGUGCCAGCAGCCGCGGUAAUUCCAGCUCCAAUAGCGUAUAUUAAAGUUGUUGCAGUUAAAAAGCUCGUAGCUGAAAC
rnacentral:rRNA from 1 species